GACAGAGGGUGCAAGCGUUGUUCGGAAUCAUUGGGCGUAAAGGGCGCGUAGGCGGUUUGUUAAGUCUGUUGUGAAAUCCCCGGGCUCAACCUGGGAAUGGCAAUGGAUACUGGCAAGCUAGAGUGUGUCAGAGGAUGGUGGAAUUCCCGGUGUAGCGGUGAAAUGCGUAGAGAUCGGGAGGAACAUCAGUGGCGAAGGCGGCCAUCUGGGACAACACUGACGCUGAGGCACGAAAGCGUGGGGAGCAAGCAGG
rnacentral:rRNA from 1 species